AGCGAACGCUGGCGGCAUGCUUAACACAUGCAAGUCGCACGGGAGGGGCAACCCUUCAGUGGCGGACGGGUGAGUAACGCGUAGGUAUCUGUCUCUGGGUGGGGGAUUAACCAUCGGGAAACUAUGGCUAAUACCGCAUGAAGCCUGGAGGGCCAAAGCAGCGAUGCGCCUGGAGAGGAGCCUGCGUACGAUUAGCUAGUUGGUGGGGUAAAGCCCACAAGGCGACGAUCGUUAGCUGGUCUGAGAGGAUGAUCA
rnacentral:rRNA from 1 species